CCUACGGGUGGCAGCAGUGAGGAAUAUUGGUCAAUGGACGCAAGUCUGAACCAGCCAUGCCGCGUGCAGGAAGACGGCUCUAUGAGUUGUAAACUGCUUUUGUACGAGGGUAAACGCAGAUACGUGUAUCUUUCUGAAAGUAUCGUACGAAUAAGGAUCGGCUAACUCCGUGCCAGCAGCCGCGGUAAUACGGAGGAUUCCAGCGUUUUCCGGAUUUUUUGGGUUUAAAGGGUGCGUAGGCGGUCGGAUAAGUUAGAGGUGAAAUCCCGAGGCUCAACUUCGGAAUUGCCUCUGAUACUGUUCGGCUAGAGAGUAGUAGCGGUAGGCGGAAUGUAUGGUGUAGCGGUGAAAUGCUUAGAGAUCAUACAGAACACCGAUUGCGAAGGCAGCUUACCAAGCUACUUCUGACGUUGAGGCACGAAAGCGUGGGGAGCAAACAGGAUUAGAUACCCGUGUAGUC
rnacentral:rRNA from 1 species